GACGUAGGGCGCGAGCGUUGUCCGGAUUUAUUGGGCGUAAAGAGCUCGUAGGCGGCUCGUUGCGUCGGCUGUGAAAAACCCGCAGCUCAACUGUGGGCUUGCAGCUGAUACGGGCGGGCUGGGAUUCGGUAGGGGAGACUGGAAUUCCUGGUGUAGCGGUGAAAUGCGCAGAUAUCAGGAGGAACACCGGUGGCGAAGGCGGCAUCCUGGACCGAUACUGACGCUGAGGAGCGAAAGCCAGGGGAGCAAACGGG
rnacentral:rRNA from 1 species